rnacentral:rRNA from 1 species
UACAGAGGUCUCAAGCGUUGUUCGGAUUCAUUGGGCGUAAAGGGUGCGUAGGCGGUUCACUAAGUCAGCAGUGAAAUACGGCAGCUCAACUGUCGAGGUGCUGUUGAUACUGGUGAACUUGAGUACUGAUGAGGUAGGCGGAAUGGACGGUGUAGCGGUGAAAUGCUUAGAGAUCGUCCAGAACACCGAUAGCGAAGGCAGCUUACUAAGGAGUAACUGACGCUGAGGCACGAAAGUGUGGGGAUCAAACAGG